UUUCCUUCGUUCCUUGAGGAUUUGUUGGGAAUGUAUUUCACUGGAAACGAGCUACUGUAGUCCCUCCCCUUGGCGCAGCAAAUUAUUCCGCUUUUCCUUUUUACCCUAAAUAUUAAAUCUUUAAAAAGAAAGAGGGAAAGACAGAAGAACAUAGGGCAGAGAAUGAAGAAGAUACCGACCAGGGGAUUAGAAAGACUCGGAAUUGGAGUUUGAUUGCAGUUGCAUGGAUGAAGUUCCCGGGAAAGUAAGCCAUGUUUGGACGCUGAGGAAUGGAAGGGAGACUGAAACCCUAAU